rnacentral:rRNA from 1 species
UACGUAGGGUCCGAGCGUUGUCCGGAAUUACUGGGCGUAAAGAGUUCGUAGGUGGUUUGUCGCGUUGUUCGUGAAAACUCACAGCUUAACUGUGGGCGUGCGGGCGAUACGGGCAGACUUGAGUACUGCAGGGGAGACUGGAAUUCCUGGUGUAGCGGUGAAAUGCGCAGAUAUCAGGAGGAACACCGGUGGCGAAGGCGGGUCUCUGGGCAGUAACUGACGCUGAGGAGCGAAAGCGUGGGGAGCGAACAGG